UAGAAUUGCAGAAAAUGGAAAAUAUCCAUGGAGAAAUGCAGAGUGCUCAUGAGGUGUAAUAAAUCAGCUUCUGAGUAUUUUGUAAAUAGAUGGUGUAUUAAUGAAAACUAUCCUCACACAGUGCAAUAACUAAGCAGUCUUAGAGACAAUUC